CCUGUGGGUAUUUGAGAAAAGAAACCCAGCUAAAACCCUUUACGGUUUUUUUUUGACGGUUCUGCCGUGUAGUUUCCGCCUCCUGCACAACGUAGGGUUUCCUCAGCUCCGCCCCCAUGGCGCGCGUCGCCGCCUCUAGGCUCGCCGCCGUCGUNNNNNNNNNNNNNNNNNAGCUCGAGGUGUUCUCCCGCCAUCUCCCCGCCGCCUCGUCGGCGUGGGGCACCCCGUCGCGGCUUCUCGAUCCAGCGAGGGAGAGAAGGAGCCCGAGUUGGUGGUGUCCGAGCAGGUCGUUCCAUGCCACAGUGAGGGUGAAUGCAAGGGAUUACUAUGGUGUGCUCGGAGUGAGCUCGGAUGCUUCUGCAUCAGACAUAAAGAAGGCAUAUUAUGGGCUUGCAAAGAAGUUCCACCCUGAUACUAAUAAAGAUGAUUCUGGCGCAGAAAAGAAAUUCCAAGAAGUUAACCGGGCCUAUGAGGUUUUGAAGGAUGAUGAUAAGCGCGAAACAUAUGAUCAGCUUGGAGUUGAAGCUUAUGAGCGCCUAGCAUCAGGGGGUGGCCCAGAUGGUUCCCCUGAUAGCGGUGGGGACUUUGCUGGUGAUAAUCCAUUUAGUGAUAUUUUUACCGAUAUCUUUGACAGAGGAGGCCAAGAUGUCCAGGUUCCUGUUGAAUUGUCAUUCAUGGAAGCUGUCCAAGGAUGCAGAAAAACUAUUACAUACGAGGCUGAUGUUCUCUGUGGGACCUGCAAUGGAAGUGGCGUUCCACCUGGCACUAUACCUCAAACAUGUAAAGCUUGUAGAGGUGCUGGUGUGACAUUCAUCCAGAGGGGUAUGUUGAGUUUUGAAUCUACUUGUUCUCGGUGCGGUGGAAGCGGAAAAAUUGUGAAGAAUUUUUGCAAGACAUGUAAGGGCCAACAGCUUGUCAAGGGAAAAAAAUCAGUCAAGCUUGACAUAAUGGCUGGAAUUGAUGACAAUGAGACUAUAAAGGUUCGUGGUCAGGGUGGUGCAGAUGCGGAGCGCAAUAAACCUGGUGACCUUCUUUUGACUAUCAAGGUCAGAGAGGAUCCUAUCUUCCGUAGAGAAGGCAACCAUGUGCAUGUUGAUGCUGUUCUAAGCAUGGCCCAGGCUGUGCUAGGUGGGACUGUUACAAUACCUACCCUCACCGGAAAUGUUUCAGUCAAGGUUCGCCAAGGUACGCAACCAGGAGAGAAGGUUGUCCUACGGGGCAAAGGAAUAAAGGCGAAGAAUUCGUCAUCGUACGGGAACCAUUAUGUUCACUUCAACAUCAGAGUCCCAACGGAGCUGACACCACGGCAACGGGAGCUGAUGGAGGAGUUUGAUAAAGAGGAGAGCAACGACGUGGCGAGAGUUGCGGCUGCAUCUGGAUGAGAUUUUUAUGCUCCUCAUCGAUUGAUUGAUUAUUGGCACACAUAAUAAGUCAGAUAGCCUUGAAGGGCCUGGUGUACCCUAUAUGUCCCUAUCCUUGUUUGUAGGCGUUAGAUGGUGAGUUUUGCCCUGUAUAAUAUACACGUCACCAUAACUGAUAAGCCUAAAUUAUAUUGUAUAAGCAUCUGAUUUAUAUAUUCACCACUUCCUUGUGGUACCAUUGUAACAAGAGAUUAAGUUGGAACCGAUGGAAGCAACGUUUUUGGAUGAGAAUGUAUCAGCAUUUUUGUUAUAAACAUGAAACAAAU
rnacentral:rRNA from 1 species